AUUGAAUUUAAUUCAGGAUUAAAUGUUAUAUUGUAUAAUUUAAUUUAUACUUUAUAUUUUAAUCUAAAAUUAAUAGGGAUAAGCUUAUUAAUUGAUUUAUAAUCUUAAUUUUGUUUAAAUUUUGUAGGAUUAAAAAUUUCCAUCAUUUAUUUUGUUAUAAUUAAUUUUAAUUUAUAUUUUAUUUUAAUUAGGUUUAAAUUUUUAUUAAAAAUAAUUAUUUAAUAAAAUAAAUAAUUGUUAUAAUGAUAAAAUUAGUAAAUAAUAUAAUUAAUAUAUAGUAAUUCGGCAAAAUUAUCCCUCACCUGUUUAACAAAAACAUGUUCUAAUGUUUAAUUUUAUUAGAUUUGACCUGCUCAAUGAUAUUAAUUAAAUAGCCGCAGUAUUUUGACUGUGCGAAGGUAGCAUAAUCAAUUGUCUUUUAAUUGAAGGCUUGUAUGAAAGGUUGGAUGAGGGGAUAACUUUCUUUAUAUUAAAUAUUGAAUUUAAUUUUUAAGUUAAAAAGCUUAAAUUUUUAAAAGGGACGAGAAGACCCUAUAGAAUUUUAUAUUAUUUAUAAAUUAAUUAUUUUGGUUAGUUUUAAAUAAUUUUAUAAAUAAUAUUUUGUUGGGGUGACAGUGAGAUUUAUUAAACUCUUAUAAUUUAUAUUAUUGUUGAUUAACAUAUUUAUGAUCCUGAUUGUGGAUAAUUAGAU
rnacentral:rRNA from 1 species